rnacentral:lncRNA from 1 species
AUACAAGAAGUCUAAUGAAAGUAAAACACAAGUUAUAUCUCUCCAAAAAUGCAGCUUCCCAGUACUUCCAAUAAGCAUCAGUUUCAGCACCUGUACAGAACCAAAAAUAUCUAACCAGCGUCAAUGUUCAAAAUUUGUAAACAAGACUUAAACUUGUUUAAUGGUAUUACCUUAGUCCCUACAUCAGCUGGAUUAAACUGAGUUGCAAUUUUUUCAAGUAAAAUAAGUUCUUUUGAAAC